rnacentral:lncRNA from 1 species
GGGCAGUUCUACAACGUGCAUCCUCCUUGGAAGAACAGAGCUGGGUGAGGCCGCUUUACAACGUGCAAGUGGUUGCAAGACGCGAACCUUGAUAGGAUAUAGGCUGGGGCAUAGGCCACAUAUGCACGGCUACGUGAAACCAGCAAGCUGUACGGGUUUGGUCUAAACAACUACCACCAGAUGGGAGUACAAGCACACAGGUCGAACGAUGGCCAAAUUGUUUCUGUGCCUCGACCACUAACCUCCUGUCAAGCACAUCAGAGCUGGUUGGGCCCCUUAACAACGUGCAUCCUCCUUGGAAAGAAAGGAGCUGGGUGAGGCCGCUUUACAACGUGCAAGGAGCUGGGUGUGAACCGCUUUAC